AGUGAACGCUGGCGGUAGGCCUAACACAUGCAAGUCGAACGGCAGCACAGGAGAGCUUGCUCUCUGGGUGGCGAGUGGCGGACGGGUGAGGAAUACAUCGGAAUCUACCUUUUCGUGGGGGAUAACGUAGGGAAACUUACGCUAAUACCGCAUACGACCUACGGGUGAAAGUGGGGGACCGCAAGGCCUCACGCGAUGAGAUGAGCCGAUGUCCGAUUAGCUAGUUGGCUGGGUAAUGGCCCACCAAGGCGACGAUCGGUAGCUGGUCUGAGAGGAUGAUCAGCCACACUGGAACUGAGACACGGUCCAGACUCCUACGGGAGGCAGCAGUGGGGAAUAUUGGACAAUGGGCGCAAGCCUGAUCCAGCCAUACCGCGUGGGUGAAGAAGGCCUUCGGGUUGUAAAGCCCUUUUGUUGGGAAAGAAAUCCUGUCGAUUAAUACUCGGUGGGGAUGACGGUACCCAAAGAAUAAGCACCGGCUAACUUCGUGCCAGCCGCCGCGGUAAUAC
rnacentral:rRNA from 1 species